UGAGGAGCUUUUAUGUGUGGUUGCACUUUUUUAAGUUUUAAAAUCAAAAACUGAGUCUAUCUGGGGGAACCAGGCUUUCCAACAGGCUGGGUCCCUGAUAAACCCAGAGAACAGGCCCCCAGCCCCCCACGACCCCCAACGGGAUAGGAAAUGUUGGAAGCUUGGAUGGAUGGAUGAUAUCUAAUCAUGUUAAAGACAAGAAAUAAAUCAGGUACAUUAACUUCAUCCUAUGUUUAACAGUGAAGCCUAGAAAGAAGAAAGGAUAACACUCAAAGCUGCCUCAUAUAAAACAAGCAGAAGACUUAGAAUCUAAACAGAAACCCUCUGACUGACACGAGGAUCCUGCAUUCAUCCGUAGGAGUUUCUGCUCUGGAAGCGCCUGUUUGCUUAAAUGUCCCAUUAUGGAAAUCUGUUGGCUUUAGCUCACUGGCAUGUGACACCGAAAUGUCGUCCACUUUUUUAGCUCAGAUGCAACACAAAGCCUGAAGACUCUGAGUUAACCCUGACAGUCAUGGCAGGCUGAAGCUCGGAGCAGUCCUUUGUUAACUCAGAGGGAGCAAACAGCAUGUUUAAAGGUUUAGUGAUUUCACUUCAGUCUGAUGAAUCGAGGGUCUGUUCAAAGAAAGUCAACAUUUCCAAUAAAUCUCCUAUCGUUGAAUGAAAA